UCAGAUCAUUGCCUUUUCAUUUUGCAAGGGUGGUUUUUGCAGCAUGAGGGAAUUGAAAAUGGUCUUUUCAUAUAGACAAGUAGCAGAAAGUGGAACCUACCAAAUUUUACUGCCAUGUGAUUCCAUUGUAGUCUUUUAAGAAGGUCAUGUGACUGGCUUCGUGUCACCUGGAGAGGUGUGGGCACAUCUGAAACUCGACUCAAGACCUUCAGUUUCUCAGUGUGGUGCUCCUUCCCAUUCAUCACUCUGCCUCAGGUGCUGUAUGUAUAUUAUCACAUAUAAUCAUUACGACAACCGUGUAAGUUGUCCACUGUGCUGAGCUCAGCCCCAGAGAAUCUUGUUUCCACCGAGCCAAAAUCUUAUAAGGUCUAUAAAGGAAGCAGAGAAGGACCUAUUAUUGCAAUUUUGCAAGUGAGGAAAUUGAGGGUCAAAAAAGAUGGCCGUCAAGGAAAGAGCUGGAUGUCACCCCCAGGUCUCCUGGCAACCAGACUCCAGAGCUCUUGUUAUUUUGAGGAAGAGGGAUGAGAUUCAGCUCUCAAGCAUGACACUUCAGAUCAAGGGACUUAACUCUUUUCCAAGCCCAAGACACCAAGAAUGUCAAGUACUUUGGGAGUCCUUGUGUUUUGAGGCUCAAACAUCAGAUAACUGAACACCAAGGUUAUACAUCAGCUCCUCAAGUAAGGUUUCCCUAACUGUCAGCAGUGGCUGGGCCCCUUGUAAUUUGUCAGUUGCUCCUUGCUUUUAUAGCAUGGAACACAGCUGUCUGUAAUUAAACAUUUAUUUAUAUAAUAUUUUGUCAAUUCCUUCCCCUCCCCUCAGACAUAUUUGUUCUCCAUGCCUGGCAGAGAACAGUUAGUCAAUAAUUAUUUGUUGAAUGAAUACCUGGACUUUUAUUACAUGUCCUGGUGUCACUAUUGCUCAGCUCCAAU
rnacentral:lncRNA from 1 species